AAAAUAUCUAAACCAAGCUCUCUAGCAAUUCCAACCCUUUGCUCCCACUCAUGGAAUCAUCGCCGCCGCACGACCGCCGGUGCAAGCGCGUCGCCGGCACGAAGUCGCGGCCCGGCGAGCUCAAGAGCAACGGGGAUAAGAAGAUCAAGAGAGACAGUGAAGUGGUGGAGGAGGAUCGCCGCUGCAAUCGCCGCGCCGGAGCGUGGCGGUGCGGCGAGGCGGCGGCGGUUGGGAAGCCGAUGUGCCGACAUCACUUGGCGCAGAGCAAGAGUUACCAGGAGAGGAAGAAAAAGAGAGAGGGAAGCGGAGACAGUGAUUCCGGCGAAGAAGACGGACGUGACCGGAAAAUCAACGCCGGCGGAUCGGAGAAUAAGAAGAAGAAGAAGAGGAGGAGGACCGCGAGUGAGUCUGAGUCGGAGUCGGAGCACAGGUCGAGGAAUCGGACUGUGAAAGCGAAGGUGAAUGGUAAAUCUGCAGAUUCCGGUAGUGUUAUGAAGAAGAGUAAACUAAAAGAGGAAAAGCCAAAGCCAAUGGAAAAGGGUGAGUCUAACAAAAUCAAGGGGAGCUUGAUGUGUCACCAGUGUCAGCGGAACGAUAAGAGUGGUGUUGUACACUGCUCUCUGUGUAAAUCAAAGCGGUUUUGCUAUGAGUGCAUUGAAAGAUGGUACCCUGGGAAAUCAAGAGAGGAAUUUUUGGAUGCUUGCCCAUUUUGCCGUGGCAACUGCAACUGCAAAGCGUGCCUGCGCGAGUUUUUGGUUAAACCUUGCCGAGAAGUUGAGCCCAGUGUUAAGUUACAGCGACUGCUUUACCUGUUAUAUAAGGCUUUGCCUGUGCUGAGGCAUAUAUAUAGUGAGCAGAGCUCUGAACUGGAGAUAGAAGCCAAAAUCAGAGGUGUACACUUAACUGAAAUGGACAUAAAGAGAACUAAAGUACACCAAAAUGAGCGAAUGUACUGUGACAAUUGUUCUACAUCUAUUGUGGAUUUCCACAGAAGCUGUCCAAACCCCAAUUGUUCCUAUGACCUGUGUCUUACUUGUUGCAAAGAGCUAAGGGACGGUCGGCAACCUGGAGGUAAUGAAGGAGAAACAUCUCACCAGCAAGCUCUAGAAAGAGCUCAUAAAGAAGUGAAAGGACAUUGCUGGGAGAGUAAAGUUGCCUCUACUUCUGAUGAUUCUAAAGUGGACCCAUCCAUUUCUUUUCCUAAUUGGAGAGCUGAUUCUGAUGGCAGUAUUCCAUGCCCUCCAAAAGAACGUGGAGGUUGUGGCAAUGCGAAGCUGGAAUUGAGGCGUAAAUUCAAAGCUAAUUGGGUAAUGAAGCUGCUAAAAAAUGCAGAAGAUGUUACUACUGACUUCAAGUGGCAAGAAGUUGAUAUUUCUCAAGGAUGUUCCUGGUGCCAGCCAAAUGAUUCCGAGGAAACCAAUGAUAGGAAGCCUGAAAGGAGGCAAGCAGCUUUCAGGAAAAACAGUCAUGAUAACUUCUUAUACUGUCCAGAUGCUAUUGACAUUUCAGACGAUGAGAUCGAGCAUUUUCAGAGGCACUGGAUGAAAGGGGAACCGGUGAUUGUCAGAAAUGUUCUUGACAAGACAUCUGGUCUUAGUUGGGAACCUAUGGUUAUGUGGAGGGCUUUCAGAGAAACGGGUGCUAAUGUAAAGUUCAAAGAGGAGACUAAAAGUGUAAAAGCCAUUGAUUGCUUGGAUUGGAAUGAGGUUGAGAUUAAUAUUCACCAAUUUUUCACGGGCUACUUAGCGGGUCGCAUGCAUAAAGAUAAGUGGCCAGAGAUGUUAAAAUUAAAGGAUUGGCCAUCAUCAACUUUGUUUGAGGAACGCUUGCCAAGACACUGUGCGGAAUUCAUUGCAGCGCUCCCCUACAGUGACUAUACUGAUCCCAAAGAUUCAAAUGCUGGUAUUCUCAAUCUUGCUACAAGACUUCCUGAAGGGUCGCUGAAACCUGAUAUGGGACCAAAAACAUACAUUGCUUAUGGAUUCUCCGAAGAGCUUGGUAGAGGUGAUUCAGUGACUAAGCUGCACUGCGAUAUGUCUGAUGCGGUAAAUGUUCUGACACACACAGCAACAGUGAAGAUUGAACCGUGGCAGCACAAUGCCAUAAAGAAUUUGAAGAGCAAACAUGAAGCUGAAGACCUUUGUGAACUCUACAAUGAAAAAAAUCACAAGAAGGGCAGGGUUAGAGGAACAUUGUUGAAGAAAACUCGCAACGUCCUGGUUAAGGGUGCUGAUUCUUCUGAAUAUACUAAAAGUGGUAAAGUUGUGGAGAAUGACCAUCUAGUGUCAACUCUGCAGGAUGGGAAGGGAAACAAACUGGACAGAGCACAGUCAUGUAGAACUUCACUUUUGUCAGAUUCUGUCGAUCCAGGCAUCCUUAGAUCUGAUGAAACAGAAUAUGUUCCGGAACCUCUUGCUACUACUGAACUAAAUGAAGUAAAGGUUGCGAGUGUUGAUCAUCAGAGGGAUGAUGUGCUAAAAUCCACCUCGCCUCGUGCAAAUGGAGUUGAAAAAGAGCAAGAGCGUGUUCAAUGUUCCAGUGACAUGAUCGGUGGAAGGCUUGAAGGGAAAGAUGCUUCAAGGGAUGCAAGUGUAAACACGCAUGCAACAAAGGAUUUCAAAGGUAGUGACAAGUUGGACAUUGUCCGUGGUGGUGCUGUUUGGGACAUCUUUCGUAUCCAGGACACUCCCAAGUUAAUAGAGUACCUGGAGAAACACAAAAAAAAAUUUCGCCACCUUAAUAAUCAUCCUGUAGAUUCUGUUGUUCAUCCUAUUCAUGAUCAGACUCUGUACUUGAAUGAGAGACAUAAGAAACAACUAAAGGAGGAGUUCGAUGUGGAGCCUUGGACAUUUGAGCAACAUCUUGGUGAGGCAGUUUUUAUUCCAGCGGGAUGUCCUCAUCAAGUGCGAAAUAGACAAUCUUGUAUAAAGGUAGCACUUGAUUUUGUAUCUCCUGAGAAUCUUGAAGUAUGUCUGCGAUUAACUGAAGAGUUCCGUUUACUCCCAAAAACCCACAGAGCCAAGGAAGAUAAAUUGGAGGUGAAGAAGAUGACACUCUAUGCUGUAAGUUCAGCACUGCGAGAAGCCAAAAAUUUGAUGCUGGGGCUUGGGUAAGAUUCAUUUUGUUUGAUUUAUAUUUGUUGCUAAGAUCUUCUUUUAAUUAUAACCCUAAACCCUAAAGUAAAAUAAUAAAACUCAGCAGGACACCCAGUUUAUAGAAGCGGGUUGGUGCAUUUCUGGGAAUCAAAAGAAAACCAAAGAAUAUAAUUCUUAAUUGCAGUAUAAAUUUAUCUCAUGAAAUGACUUACCGGUGGUCAUCUGUGUGGUGACGGUAGCAUCUGUUAAUUCAACCAUAUAUGUCUUUUCGGUAGGAUAAGUUUAGAGUCAACACCUACCCAUUUCUCAUCCUUCAGGCUUUUACUACCAAACAAACUUAGACUCUUGGGCUUAGUUACAGUGUUACACAAUAGCCCCGUUCUAGAAAGAACUUCCUCAAAUAACUAUCUCCAACCACUACACUAUGCAAUUUAACAAAUAAUCUGAGUCGUUUAUUCUUUAUGUUGAUAUGCAAGUAUUAUCACUUGGUCAUCUAAAUGUGCAAAGAAAUUCAGCCCGUCGGAUAAAAUUCGAAUUGUAAUCAAAUCAAAUGCCUAAAUGGUUUCCGAUUUGGCUUUAUUUUUGAACUAUUCAUGUGUGUGUAAGAAAUUAUUGAAUGAACAGUUCUGUUUCCUUAAAUAUCAAAUUUGAGGGAGUCUUCUUAGAACAGAACAGGCAUUCAUAUAUAUAGUCGUGGUUUAUUUUGAGGUUUGUUUUAAGGUUUGAAUUAAAUGAUGGCGGCUAGUACUAUUUUUCCAUCAUUGCUAGGCUCCUUGCAAAGUGCCAUAUUAGUAGUUUAUUGUUGGUGAUAAUUAAAAGUUGGAAUGCAAAACAAUUCUGUGGUAUUAUCCCAUCUGUAAGUAUGAGGAAGUUGGAGAUUCCAGGGUCAUGUCCGGGCAAUCUAUGAAACAUCAGAUGGGGAACGUUGGAGAAUGAAGUACCCAAUCUGCCAAUACAGGCCUUGCAUAAGUUCUUGGCCUCUCCACCCAUCUCCGAUUGCAUGCUUUAGAGUAGGCUAUUCAUUGCAACCACUUUGCGGGUUUAAAACAUGCUGAUAUUUGAGAUUUAUGUUUUGGGCGGGAACCUGGAUGUGCGUGAACACGAGUGGGGUGAGAAUGGAAUUCCCACAUUUGACCUAUAUGGUACAAGAUCUUGAGCAUCUCCCCUCAUUGUCAAUUGGUUUUGAGUUGGAUGCUUGGAUUUCUUCACGUCCUGCCGGGCGUUCUAGAGUUUUCUAUACUAGACUUCGACACCGUUUCUAAAUCUUUCUAUAACACCUCCAUCAAAAUAAAGACCACCAGUGGCUGGUCAUGAUUGUUCAACUACAUCUCUACAUCGGAAAUUUUCGGAGUGAACUCUCUAUUUGAUGCCUCAAGAGACAAUCCCUACAUAUAUUCUUAUGGUUUGUGGAUCGGGUUGUGUCAUUUACUUGCACACCUGUAUGCUCAAGGCACACAUAGCUGUUUCUUCUUUAUGUAAGGGCACACGUCAAGCCACACCCACAUCUCUACACCGGAAGUUUUCUGAAGUGAAUUCCUCUAGUCUAUGCCUCAAAAAACAAGAAUCCAUACAUACAUAUUCAUAUGACGUGUGGAUCGGCCCGUGUCAUUUCAUCCCGCACCGGUAUGCUCAAGCCACACCGUUCUGUUUCUUCUUUUAUUCAAGGACCAAUCAUGUCUUUGUUGCUGCAUUUCUUGUUCAGCCACACCCGUUGAGGAGGAAAUAAUUCUUGUUCAUAAUCUUGUGACCUAGUCUCAUAAUAGCCUUUGAACACCAUGGAGAAAUUGUUGGCAUUAUAAACAUUCUUGUCAACUCGAAGUUCUUGGAGUAUAGUGGUUGUUGAAUAUGAAAUUGAAGAAAUGUUUGCAAGCAGUUCAUGUUGAAGUCUCUAAUCCUCAAGGGGUAUGAUGGAUAUGAUGGAGGUAUAUGUUUCUCUAUGUCAGUUCAAGAGUAGGGUGAGCCGCACACAAGGAAGUGUGUCGACGUAGUAUACAUUGUUGGAUUAUUGCUUAACAGUUCAAGCUUUUGCACUUGGUGGUUUGUAGCAACCAAACUUUGGUUGUGCCAUGGAAGAGUUGCAGGUGUGUAGUGGUUGCGCUUUGUGUCUAUUCACGUGCAUUUUGGAGGAGUUGCAGCUAUCUCAUCCUCAUAUGGAGCUUCAAUUAAACAACCUUGGCUUGAAGGAAGCCACGUGUCUGGUGUUUUUGACGUGUUAACUGUAAUUCAUCUUGGAGGAGUUGCAUCUAUGGUGCAUGCCUCAUAGACAAGAUUUGAGCUGCCGUAUAAGAACCUUGGUUGUGAAGGAGGAAGCCACAUCAAUUCAGAACCUUGGUUGUGAAGGAGGAAGCCACAUCAAUUCGUUGACAAAUACACCAAUGACAAGGUGGAGUUGUGCCUGGUGUCUUUUCAAGUGCAUCUUGGAGGAGUUGCAACUAUGUUAGAGACUUAACGCGAACUGUUCGAGCUGCUAUGGCAACAACCAUCACGCUCAAUGUGUUGUGUCAUUGCCACACGUUAUUGAAUUGAAUCUUGGAGGAGUUGGAGCUAUGUGCAGGCCUCAUAGACAAUGAAGGAGCUGCUGUGUAAUUGUUCUUGUUUGUGAAGGAGGAAGCCGCAACAAUUUGUUGACAACAACACCAAAGAGAAGGUGGAGUUGUUGAUCAAGUGUAUUACUUUCUUCCAAGAACGUCAAAUGCAGAGAAAGAUGACAAGUAGGAGUAAAUGCCAGCAAAUCUACAUUCUAUCUCAUUAUUAUUUUAUCAGUAACAAAAGUUUAUGUAUUUGCAUAGGGUGACAGUUUUGGAGGUAUUGGCUAAUUGCAUAUGUUGAAGGUUGAAUCUUUUGGGAUGUAGAUUGUUCCAUUUUCCUACAUGGAGAUUAGUUUAUAACAUAAGUUAUGCAUCCGGAAUUUGCGCA